CCGACGGUGAGGGGUGAAGGCUGGGGGCGCAAACCGGAUUAGAUACCCGGGUAGUCCCAGCAGUAAACGAUGCCAGCUAUGUGUUGCUGGAACCAAUGGGUUCCAGCAGUGCCGAAGGGAAGCCGUGAAGCUGGCCACCUGGGAAGUACGGUCGCAAGGCUGAAACUUAAAGGAAUUGGCGGGGGAGUACCACAACCGGUGGAGCCUGCGGUUUAAUUGGAUACAACGCCGGGAAUCUUACCGGAGGGGACAGCAGUAUGAAGGCCAGGCUAAAGACCUUGCCAGAUCAGCUGAGAGGAGGUGCAUGGCCGUCGCCAGUUCGUACCGUGAGGCAUCCUGUUUAGUCAGGCAACGAUCGAGACCCGCAGUCUUAUUUGCCAGCAUGCCCUUUGGGGUGUAUGGGUACAAUAAGACGACCGCCAGCGCUAAGCUGGAGGAAGGAGCGGGCUACGGUAGGUCAGCAUGCCCCGAAUCCUCCGGGAUACACGCGGGCUACAAUGGUCAGGAC
rnacentral:rRNA from 1 species